CUGGAUGAGGCUGUGGAUGCGGGAGAAUCGGACGGGAAACCUAAGAUCUGGGACUCGGAUGAUUGCGAAUCCGGGAGAGCUGGACGCACGGAAUGAUCACAGUGCCUUGGACGCAGGAAUAUGAGAUCUGGAAGGCUUCACGGACGGCUGGGAGGUGCAUGAGACGGGCAGAUGAAAUCUGGAUGAGCGGAAGCGAGCUAAUCACGGGAGAUUCACAUGCGGACGCGAGGACCUGAGAUUCCGGAAGAUUGCGAUCGCCUGGGUGAUCUGAUCGUGGAUCUUGAAGCAAGGGAUGCGGAAGGGAAGAUCGGGACUUUGCUGGGAGGUUGCACGGACGCGGAAUGAUGGGCUGCACGCGGACGCUGGGAGAAGCUGGGAGACGCGUGAGGCGGGCGGACGCUUGGAGACGCUAGGAUUCAGAUGAUGCGUUGGAUGGUCACCGAGCUGAAGAUGAAGCUUGGAGUGAUGUGGAUCACUCACGGGUUAGGCGGACGACUGGAAGCUGAGACUUGGGAUGCUGGAUGCUUCGUGGACGCACGGGAGAAAGACCUGAUCGCGGGUUUCAAGAGCGAGAAAGGCUGAUCACGGCAUGAUUCGAUCACGGAUCCUGAGACGCGGACGGGUCUUGACAGGGCUGAUGUGGCUCACGGACGCGGCAAGGAUGCUGAGGUGCUUGCGAACGGCUAAAUCUGGGCUCUGUUCUGCAGCUGGGAAGAGAUGAAUUUAUAUAAUGAUAAAAAUUAUAAUAAGUGCUAAGGAUAAAA
rnacentral:lncRNA from 1 species